CCUACGGGAGGCAGCAGUGAGGAAUAUUGGUCAAUGGGCGGGAGCCUGAACCAGCCAAGUCGCGUGAGGGAAGACGGUCCUAUGGAUUGUAAACCUCUUUAGGCGGGGAGCAAUGCGGGGCACGCGUGCCCGGAGGUAGAGUACCCGCAGAAUAAGCAUGGGCUAACGCCGUGCCAGCAGCGGCGGUAAUACGGAGGAUGCGAGCGUUAUCCGGUUUUUUUGGGUUGAAAGGGUUCGUAGGCGGAUUUUAAAGGCGGCGGUAAAAUGUCCGGGCUCAACCCGGGCCGGCCGUUGAAACUGGGGGUCUUGAGUGGGCGAGAGGUAUGCGGAAUGCGUGGUGUAGCGGUGAAAUGCAUAGAUAUCACGCAGAACUCCGAUUGCGAAGGCAGCAUACCGGAGCCCGACUGACGCUGAGGCACGAAAGCGUGGGGAUCGAACAGGAUUAGAUACCCCUGUAGUC
rnacentral:rRNA from 1 species